CUACUCUGCUGGAGUUUCGCAAGUAAGCUCAGGAUACAGUUCCAGGUAGAAAUCAAAUCCAAGACCCAGAGGUGAAAGACAUCCAGUUGGAACAAAGUUGAUGGAUAAUAUUUUUGACACAAAAGGGAGUGGUACUUUCAGAAAAUGCUUAUAAGAACAGCUUACCUGGGGAGGAAUGGAGACUUCAGCUUGACUACUGAUAAGACAGCAAAAGCAACUCACCUAAGGACUUGCUGACCCUGCAUAAGAGAAAUUAAAUGAAACAACAUGUAGUACUGGUAGUAUCCUAAGUUCCUGCUCUACAGCACAUGGGUUUGAAAGAACAUCUGUUGAACCUGUUUAAAAUUCUUAAAUCUUCAUUAAAAAAAUGGUGAGCUUCUAACAGGGCUGGAAGAAAGAACAGUGCAGCUUCCUAUAUAUUCUUUCCUAUUCUUGUGCUUUUUCAUGGAAAUCUGCUUAUGGCCAGAAAAUUAUGCAUUAGAUGAACCUUUGGACUAAUACUGAAUGGACACUUAAAUUUUCUUCUGUAGGAACUGUUAUUUGUUAAGGCUGCAACGUAGCCUAAAAACAUCUGCAUACAGCAGCAGGAUGUUGGGAUAUUGGCAGGAUUUAUGUGUAAUCAGGAUCCUAGAAAAAAUACAUAUAUUGCAAGCUUACAUUUUUAAUGGUGGGCAUUGUACUUUGAUAGUGUACACAAAAGAUGCAAGAACAUGAGAAACACAAAUGCAAUCUAUGAAAUGUCUUUGUUUCUUUCUAAAACAACAAUAAUAGAGAAAUAGAAAUGCCAUAAUAAAAGUUGAGUAACACAGGAAAAAAAUGCAAUGGCUUUGGAAGACUCUCCCAACUUUCCCUGGAAAAGCAGGAUGUACUUUUAUGAAAAGAUAAACCAUAGUUAAAAGGGAUGGGUAGAAGAAAAGCACUGAUUUG